rnacentral:lncRNA from 1 species
CCGCCUCCCCCCCGCCCCCGUGUCACCCCCCGGUCCCCAAGUGUCACCCCCGGCCGCCACCGGGCACAGAGUAAAGCUCCUUUAUUUAUCCGGGCUCCCGGGUGCGUCGCCGCAGGGAAACUGAGGCACGGCCGCCAUGGCGCUGGGGACAACGGGGACCCGCAGCGGCAGCAGCCACCCCCCGAGGGUGGCACUGGGGACAAUGGGGACCCCCAGCUCGCCAUGGCCACCGCCCCCCGAGGGUGGCAUCGGCGACAACGGGGACCCCCAGCGCCCCGUGGCGCUGUCACUCGCUGUCCCCAGCCCGCCGGGUUCUUGUGGCACCUGCACGGCCCGGCCUGGCAGCUCCCUGAGCAGGACAGUGCCACUCGCCACAGUCCCCGCUGUCCUGUCCCUGCUGUUCCCACUGUCCUGUCCCCUGUCCCAUGUCUCGUGUCCCGCUGUCCCACCGUACUGUCCCAUGUCCCCUCUGUCCCUGCUAUCCCCACUGUCCUGUCCCUGCUGUCCCCUCUGUCCCACUGUCCUGUCCCCUGUGUCCUGCUGUCCCCGCUGUCCUGUCCUCAUUGUCCUGUCCCCUCUGUCCCCUGUUCUGUCCCCCUGUCCGGUCCCGUGUCCCGUCCCUGUCCCGUCCCUGCACUGUCCGUGCCCCGUCCGUGUCCGGUCCCGUCCCUGUCCGGUCCUUGUCCUGUCCCUGUUCCGUCCCUAUUUGGCCCCCUGUCCGGUCUCUGUCCUGUCCCGUGUCCCGUAUCCCGUCUCUGUCCCGUGUCGGUCCCUGUCCGGUCCCGGUCCCGUCUCCGUCCCGUCCGUGUCCCGUGUCCGGUCCCGUGUCUGGUCCCUGUCCCUGCUGUCCGGUCCCGUAUCCGGUCCCGUGUCCGGUCCCGGUCCCUGUUCCGUAUCCGGUCCCUGUCCCUGCUGUCCUGUCCCGUGUCCGGUCCCGGUCCCGUAUCCGGUCCCUGUCCCUGCUGUCCGGUCCCGUGUCCGCUCCCGUGUCCGGUCCCGGUCCCGUGCGGCUCAGCCCACGGUGACGCUGAAGCCGCAGUGGAACCGGUUCCUGCGGUGGUUCAGGAAGGCGCCCAGGGCCAGCGUCACGGGCAGGGGGGGCAGCUUCUUCUCCAGGACCCCUCCCACGCUCCAGCUGCUGUCCAGGAGCCCUGCGGGGACAGCGGGGACCCCUGAGCCGCCGCCGCCGGGCGCGGGGGACAGAGGCCACCGGGGCGGGGCCGGCCCACCUCGGAACACGGCGUUGGCCCGCGGCAGGUUGAGCCGGUAGCCGAAGGCGAACGCGGUCUCCUGCAGGCGCGUGUUGGCCUCCAGCUCCACCCCCGCCUGCACCUGCGGGGACGCGGCGGUCACGGCGGCGUGGGGACCGCGGGGACAGAGAGGGGACAACGGGGACAGCGGGGGGAGAGCGUGGGGACAGUGUGGGGAGAGCGGGGACAGAGAGGGGACAACGGGGGGAGAGCGUGGGGACAGUGUGGGGACAGCGGGGACAGAGAGGGGAGAGCGUGGGGACAGUGAGGACAGCG